UACGUAGGGGGCUAGCGUUGUCCGGAUUUAUUGGGCGUAAAGAGCUCGUAGGCGGCUUGUUGCGUCGUCCGUGAAAUCCCAUGGCUCAACUGUGGGCUUGCGGUCGAUACGGGCAGGCUGGAGUUCGGUAGGGGAGACUGGAAUUCCUGGUGUAGCGGUGGAAUGCGCAGAUAUCAGGAGGAACACCGAUGGCGAAGGCAGGUCACUGGGCCGCAACUGACGCUGAGACGCGAAAGCGUGGGGAGCGAACAGG
rnacentral:rRNA from 1 species